CGUACGACGUUCAUGAUGACCACACCGGAGACGUGCACGGCCAGAAGGAGUCCCGCAAGGAUCACACCACCCAGGGCGAAUACUACCUGAUCGAUGCCGAUGGCCACAAGCGCACUGUGACGUACCACGUCGAUGGCAAGAGUGGAUUCAUCGCCCAGGUCCACCGGGAACCGAUCAAGGGAUACCAGGCACCGCAGCCACAGGUGCACAAGGUGCUAGCCGUCCCGGUGCAGAAGGCGUACUAUCACCAAUAAGGAGUGUAGUCAACAAAUGUCAUAGUCAAAUUCAUCAACCUAGCGUAAUGUAGUAAAAUAUAACAUAUUACACAAAACAA